CAGUAGCCGCGGUAAUACGAAGGGUGCAAGCGUCAAUCGGAAUUACUGGGCGUAAAGCGUGCGUAGGCGGUUUGUUAAGUCUGUUGUGAAAUCCCCGGGCUCAACCUGGGAAUGGCAAUGGAUACUGGCAAGCUAGAGUGUGUCAGAGGACGGUGGAAUUCCCGGUGUAGCGGUGAAAUGCGUAGAGAUCGGGAGGAACAUCAGUGGCGAAGGCGGCCAUCUGGGACAACACUGACGCUGAGGCACGAAAGCGUGGGGAGCAAACAGGAUUAGAUACCCCUGUAGUCCCUGUCUCUUAUAC
rnacentral:rRNA from 1 species